AGAGUUUGAUCCUGGCUCAGAUUGAACGCUGGCGGCGUGCCUAACACAUGCAAGUCGAGCGGUAACAGGUGUAGCAAUACAUGCUGACGAGCGGCGAACGGGUGAGCAAUGCUUCGGAAUCUGCCCAAUGGUGGGGAAUAACCAGCCGAAAGGUUGGCUAAUACCGCAUGAGCCCUACGGGGGAAAGCAGGGGAUCGCAAGACCUUGCGCCGAUGGAUGAGCCGAAGUCGGAUUAGCUAGUUGGUAGGGUAACGGCCUACCAAGGCGACGAUCCGUAGCUGGUCUGAGAGGACGACCAGCCACACUGGGACUGAGACACGGCCCAGACUCCUACGGGAGGCAGCAGUGGGGAAUAUUGGACAAUGGGGGCAACCCUGAUCCAGCGACGCCGCGUGUGUGAAGAAGGCCUGCGGGUUGUAAAGCACUUUUAGUGGGGAUGAAAAGCUCAGGGAUAACACCUCUGGGUCUUGACCUAACCCACAGAAAAAGCACCGGCUAAC
rnacentral:rRNA from 1 species